UUAUGUUUCCUUUUCCAUUGCAGAUUUUUGGGAUCUUAGGCUUUGUUUGGAACUUGUGGAAAGAAAAAAGAAAGGGUAAAAAUAUAGAUAAAAAAUUGACUGGAAAAAGAAAGCGAAUUUUCUUUGUUCAAUUUUAGAAAAAAGAGGGGUGGAAAUAAAAAAAAGCACUUAAAUAAACAACAAGAAAGGGCAAGAAAGUCAAAAAAAUGUGGUAGACAAAAUUUCAAAAUAUGAAGAAAAAUUAGGAGCCUAACAAAGAGUCCGGAUUUGCUGCGGGACAUGGUCUUGUCCCAAUCCUAAAUGGAUGACACCUAUUCAUUUGUAAUUUAUCAGGAAAUAUUGUGUAAUUUAUAAAUUAAAAAUGCACAGUAUCAUCCAUUUGGGGCUAGAA
rnacentral:lncRNA from 1 species